AUUGAACGCUGGCGGCAUGCCUUACACAUGCAAGUCGAACGGCAGCACGGGGGGCAACCCCUGGUGGCGAGUGGCGAACGGGUGAGUAAUAUAUCGGAACGUACCCUGUAGCGGGGGAUAACCUCUCGAAAGAGAGGCUAAUACCGCAUACGACCUACGGGUGAAAGCGGAGGACCGCAAGGCUUCGCACUAUAGGAGCGGCCGAUACCGGAUUAGCUAGUUGGCGGGGUAACAGCCCACCAAGGCUACGAUCCGUAGCUGGUCUGAGAGGACGAUCAGCCACACUGGAACUGACACACGGUCCAGACUCCUACGGGAGGCAGCAGUGGGGAAUUUUGGACAAUGGGCGCAAGCCUGAUCCAGCCAUGCCGCGUGAGUGAAGAAGGCCUUCGGGUUGUAAAGCUCUUUCGGCGGGGACGAAACGGUUCGUGCUAACACCACGGACUAAUGACGGUACCCGAAGAAGAAGCACCGGCUAACUACGUGC
rnacentral:rRNA from 1 species